rnacentral:rRNA from 1 species
AACGCGAAGAACCUUACCGGGGCUUGACAUCCCGCGCUAUCCUAGGAGACUAGGUUUCCGAGCAAUCGGACGCGGAGACAGGUGCUGCAUGGCUGUCGUCAGCUCGUGCCGUGAGGUGUUGGGUUAAGUCCCGCAACGAGCGCAACCCUUGCCGUGUGUUGGUCGCAAGAUCUCUCACGCGGGACCGCCGGUGACAAGCCGGAGGAAGGUGGGGAUGACGUCAAGUCAGCAUGGCCCUUACGUCCCGGGCUACACACGUGCUACAAUGGAAUGGACAACGAGUCGCGAACCCGCGAGGGUAAGCUAAUCUCAUAAACCAUUUCUCAGUUCGGAUUGAAGGCUGCAACUCGCCUUCAUGAAGUCGGAAUCGCUAGUAACCGUAGAUCAGCUACGCUGCGGUGAAUACGUUCCCGGGCCUUGUA